AAUGAACGCUGGCGGCGUGCUUAACACAUGCAAGUCGAACGAUGAAGCCUAGCUUGCUAGGUGGAUUAGUGGCGCACGGGUGAGUAAUAUAUAGUUAACGUGCCUCUUAGUCUGGGAUAGCCAUUGGAAACGAUGAUUAAUACUGGAUACUCCUUCUUAUUCUAAUUUAAGUUGGGAAAGUUUUUCGCUAAGAGAUCGGACUAUAUCGCAUCAGUUAGUUGGUGGGGUAAUGGCCUACCAAGACAAUGACGCGUAGCGGGUUUGAGAGGAUGAUCCGCCACACUGGUACUGAGACACGGACCAGACUCCUACGGGGAGGCAGCAGUGAGGAAUAUUGCACAAUGGGGGAAACCCUGAUGCAGCAACGCCGCGUGGAGGAUGACGCAUUUCGGUGUGUAAACUCCUUUUAUGAGUCAAGAAAUGACGGUAGCUCAUGAAUAAGCACCGGCUAACUCCGUGCCAGCAGCCG
rnacentral:rRNA from 1 species